CAAGUCGAGCGGACAGAUGGGAGCUUGCUCCCUGAUGUUAGCGGCGGACGGGUGAGUAACACGUGGGUAACCUGCCUGUAAGACUGGGAUAACUCCGGGAAACCGGGGCUAAUACCGGAUGCUUGUUUGAACCGCAUGGUUCAAACAUAAAAGGUGGCUUCGGCUACCACUUACAGAUGGACCCGCGGCGCAUUAGCUAGUUGGUGAGGUAACGGCUCACCAAGGCAACGAUGCGUAGCCGACCUGAGAGGGUGAUCGGCCACACUGGGACUGAGACACGGCCCAGACUCCUACGGGAGGCAGCAGUAGGGAAUCUUCCGCAAUGGACGAAAGUCUGACGGAGCAACGCCGCGUGAGUGAUGAAGGUUUUCGGAUCGUAAAGCUCUGUUGUUAGGGAAGAACAAGUACCGUUCAAAUAGGGCGGUACCUUGACGGUACCUAACCAGAAAGCCACGGCUAACUACGUGCCAGCAGCCGCGGUAAUACGUAGGUGGCAAGCGUUGUCCGGAAUUAUUGGGCGUAAAGGGCUCGCAGGCGGUUCCUUAAGUCUGAUGUGAAAGCCCCCGGCUCAACCGGGGAGGGUCAUUGGAAACUGGGGAACUUGAGUGCAGAAGAGGAGAGUGGAAUUCCACGUGUAGCGGUGAAAUGCGUAGAGAUGUGGAGGAACACCAGUGGCGAAGGCGACUCUCUGGUCUGUAACUGACGCUGAGGAGCGAAAGCGUGGGGAGCGAACAGGAUUAGAUACCCUGGUAGUCCACGCCGUAAACGAUGAGU
rnacentral:rRNA from 1 species